GAUGAACGCUAGGACAGGCCUAACACAUGCAAGUCGAGGGGCAGCACAUGAGUAGCAAUACGAUGGUGGCGACCGGCGCACGGGUGAGUAACACGUAUGCAACCUACCUUCUACCAGGGGAUAACCCGUUGAAAGACGGACUAAUACCCUAUAAUACAGGGGCUCCGCAUGGAGAUAUUUGUUAAAGAUUCAUCAGUAGAAGAUGGGCAUGCGCAUGAUUAGCUAGUUGGCGGGGUAACGGCCCACCAAGGCAUCGAUCAUUAGGGGUUCUGAGAGGAAGGUCCCCCACACUGGUACUGAGACACGGACCAGACUCCUACGGGAGGCAGCAGUGAGGAAUAUUGGUCAAUGGGCGAGAGCCUGAACCAGCCAAGUCGCGUGAAGGAAGACUGUCCUAUGGAUUGUAAACUUCUUUUGUACGGGAAUAAAGUGGGCUACGUGUAGCCUUUUGUAUGUACCGUACGAAUAAGGAUCGGCUAACUCCGUG
rnacentral:rRNA from 1 species